UACGUAGGGUCCGAGCGUUGUCCGGAAUUAUUGGGCGUAAAGGGCUCGUAGGCGGUUUGUCGCGUCGGGAGUGAAAACCUACAGCCUAACUGUGGGCUUGCUUUCGAUACGGGCAGACUUGAGGCAUGCAGGGGAGAACGGAAUUCCUGGUGUAGCGGUGAAAUGCGCAGAUAUCAGGAGGAACACCGGUGGCGAAGGCGGUUCUCUGGGCAUGUUCUGACGCUGAGGAGCGAAAGUGUGGGGAGCGAACAGG
rnacentral:rRNA from 1 species